GAGCCCCUUCUCUCUAG
rnacentral:tRNA from 1 species